AAACCAUAACAAAAAAACUGAACGAAUUCUCUCAUCUCUCAUUUCUCAAAAAGCUUCAUCAUACUCUUGUUGCAUCAAUUCACCAAGUUGAUAAAUCUUUGAGCAAAAUCUCGGUGAAUUUCGUCAAUUACACUUGCUGUUGAGUUUCUGUUUGCAGGUAAAACUCAAGAACAAUCCACAAACUGCAUCUGUAGAAUCAACCUGCGAUUGCCAUAACAGUCCAAGAAUCGGUGCGAUUUGGAGAGUUUCGAGCUGCAAGAACAUCCUCAUUCAUCUCCUACGAAGCUAUCCAACAUCUGUUUCGCAUCAUCAAGCAUAAAUCCGCGCGAAUCGGUACCGCUAGCUUCGGAAGGUUGGAAAUCACAACUCGUAGAUGCUUCGAUUUUGUUAGGAGUUCUAUAGUAUAUUCAUUGUAGAUUGCAUAUCAGCUGGUAGAAUUAGGAAUUGCUGGAAAUUGGUUGAGUUAUCCGAGAUUUAGGUUUCAUCGCCGUUUUCCUUUUGCCUUCGAUUCUUGCUAUGUAUUGAUCUAUUGUUGAAAUUGAUUAUGGAUUCGUAAUCCUGAGGAAAAACCGGUUCGACCGGUAUAUAGUUUGUUGAUUUCCAUCGCCAUUGUGUGAGUUCUUGCGAAUUCGAGCUUCGACGCCGUCAGUUUCUUUCCUUCGAUUCGCAUUAGGUGGUAAUCUAUUGUUGAAAUCGAGUAUGGAUUCAUGCUCCUGAGACGAAACCGCUCCGAUCGGUGUGUCGUCCAUGCAUUUCCGUCGAGAAUCGCUCGAAACCG
rnacentral:lncRNA from 1 species